rnacentral:rRNA from 1 species
GACGAACGCUGGCGGCGUGCUUAACACAUGCAAGUCGAACGGAAAGGCCCUGCUUGCAGGGUCCUCGAGUGGCGAACGGGUGAGUAACACGUGGGUGAUCUGCCCUGCACUUCGGGAUAAGCCUGGGAAACUGGGUCUAAUACCGGAUAGGAGCCAUUUUUAGUGUGAUGGUUGGAAAGUUUUUUCGGUGUAGGAUGAGCUCGCGGCCUAUCAGCUUGUUGGUGGGGUAAUGGCCUACCAAGGCGGCGACGGGUAGCCGGCCUGAGAGGGUGGACGGCCACAUUGGGACUGAGAUACGGCCCAGACUCCUACGGGAGGCAGCAGUGGGGAAUAUUGCACAAUGGGCGCAAGCCUGAUGCAGCGACGCCGCGUGGGGGAUGACGGCCUUCGGGUUGUAAACUCCUUUCGCCAGGGACGAAGCUUUUUGUGACGGUACCUAGAGAAGAAGCACCGGCUAACUACGUG